CUUAAGAUAUGGUGUUUGGUAAACUCUCUAGAAGCUGCUUUUGGUCCAAAUAGAUUCUCCCAGAAGCUGAAAGUGAGAAGCAACCAAGUGCUAGCUUUUGAAAGUUGCUUCUCUGGAAAACACGGAGUGAACAGUGCUUCUUUAAUGAAAUUUAUCAAAUUCCCGAUUUUGUCCUCAUCAUUUUCUAAAAUUUACACUGAACCCAGUCAUUUUUCUUCAUCUGUAUUCUGUGCGAGGCAAAACCAUCGCACUCUCCUCCUCCUCCUCCCCCUCCCCUCGCCGUCAAAUACUUGAGCAUGAUUCAUACUCAUCGGAAGAAAUCGAGAGAGGGCGCUGACAUUUUUUCCCUCUCAGUCUCUCUCUUCGACCGUCGAGGCUUCGACGACCCUCGCUCUCAUCGACGGUAACUCGGUGACGGACUGCAGUCGAAUAGUUGAUCGAUCUGUCUGGGUUUUUACUUUCUGGGUUUUCAAUCAAUCUCUCAAGUGUUCGAAUAGCCUCGAACUCUUGGUUGCUCUCUUCCUCAAGCAGCAAAGCAGAAAUUCUUGGUUGCUUUCCGGUUCGAUUUCUGAGUUAUGGAAUUGAUCAAGUUGUUUUGGACGUUAGUUACUGAUUGAAAUUGAAUUGUAUUGUAUAUUUAUAUUGCAUCUGUUUUGAAAUUUGGCAUCAGUUUUGCCAGUUUUGAUGGGAAUUGAAUUGCAUCUGUCUUGGUAUUUGGAUGGAAAUUGAAAUUGUAUCUGAUAUGAAAUUGUUUAGGUGGAGGUGGAAACAAAUUGGUGAUUUCCCAAAGGGGGUUCUGGAAAGCAUUGUGGGGAUUAAACUCAUUAAAGCAUCCAAGUAAAGUGAAAAUCUUUAUGUGGAGAGAAUGUUGCAACUGUUGCUAAAGAUUGUUGGCUUUUCAUGGAAGCAUAUUUAUGAUUGUAGAUUUGUAAUUGACAAUUACAAUAUUGUUAUUCAGAACGUUUUGAAUCACAGUUUGUUUUGUUUGUUUGUUUUGAUGCUUGUUUCAUAUUAUAGCAGAUUAAUUGGAAUUGCAAAGUUGUGGCAUUCCAAGCUUUGGGUUUUCUAAUGAUGGAUGAAUUAGUUUGGGAAGGACACUCUAAUUAAGGUUCUUGGUAAUCAUGCAGCUUUGGACCAGAAUUGUGAUUUUAGUUUGGUUUUGAUAUACAGGGGAUCACAGGAGCCACAAGCUCAGCCACGUCCCGAGGAUGCUCCAGCACAGCAGUCCUAUUAUCCUCACUCUGUUAACUCCCCGAGCUCUUCUCGUCCUUUAACUCCGAGUUGAACCUCUUCUUCUUCCAAUUUGAGUUCUAGGGGUAACUCCCCGUCACCUGUUUCUCCCACUGAAGCUGCUGGUGUUAUUGCUUCUUUGAAGGACAAAAGCGAGACCUAUCAGUACUAUGAUUUGUCUUUCUGCCUUCCAGGUUAGCCUUUAGGACCGUAGUGACAUUCUUUUUACGCAAUAAUUAUGGAAGAAGCAACUGAAACCUGAUAUAGUUAUUCAAUGGAAGUUGGCUGCUAAGCUAUCAUAUGCAUACUUAAGAUGCCAGUUCAAAACAAUCCAGUAAUUCAAAAGAAAGAAUCCAUUGGGGAAGUUUUUUGUGUGGUGAUCGUUUGACCAACAACUUAUAUCAGUUGAAUUUCCGGCAGAACAAAAAUGAGGAGAGACUGUGCCAGAAGAAGCUUAGAGUUUCUGAAGUUUGGAAGUUCAUGGAUGCUAUCCUUAUUUUGUGUAAUAGUAAAACAUAAUAUGCAUAUUGAAGAGUUUAAAGUAAAUCUUUUAUUCGGUCCAACCAAGGGUACAAGAAUAAUACAUGAGAAAUAUAGUUACAUAAUCAAAAAACAAAAUUAUGUAUUUUAGUAGCA